CGGCUGCAGGCUGGGGGUCUUUGCAGUCUGCGCCCUGCCUCAGCGCUCUGCUCCGGUAGUACAGCGGAAGGCCAGAACUUUGCACGGAAGAAAUCUUUGAAGAGAAGUUCUCCUCUCAUCACAUUCGAGCUUUGUUUGUGCCCUAUAAUGGCCCUGGAAUUGCCUGAGGCUGUAGGCACCGGACAAUAUUUUACUUUUGCAGAAUCAGCAUUUUCAUGAGUUCGGUAUCUUGGCUUUAAAGACAUUGUGGAUUAUCCAGCCCAAGCUCUUGGCUUUACAGCUGAAGAAACUGGGCCCAAAGAAGCCAGGCGACUUGCCUGUCACGCAGUGGCAGACAGCGUCAGAACGCUCCCGGCUUCGACUCUCCUUCUACUUACUAGGAUACAAGUGUGACAUCAUUUGAGUUACUUCACUUUAAGAACAGACAGCAUCAGAGAAAAAUCAAAGCCCCAAUAAGUGCUCUUCCUAAAAUUUGCAUAGAUGACAUGAUG